AAUAUAAAAAGGGGAGAACCAAAGGAGAAAGGGGAGAGAGGUUUUUGAAGUUUCGGGGAAGUUCUGGUGGGUCUUCUCGGGAUAAAGAAGCCGAAAGAAGAAAGAAGUGGAGAAGAGAAAGCGGCGAAGGCGUUAAGGUUAAACUGCAAAUGCUUAGUCUUCUUCACGUACUGGAACUGCUAAACCUCCAGCGAUGAUGGUUUUCGUAAGUAGCCAUGGAUGUUUGAAGGACCACGAGUGAGUUCAUGGUUUGAUCGACUAUGAAAAACAAACACAGUUUUGCAAAAUUGAUUCAAGGAACGGGAGUACGCAAUGGUGGCUGGAAUGUGUCAAGGAUAGAUGUGGUUCAAAUGCUGGGGUCGGAACAGUGCUGGUGGACGUUGCUGUCAGAGUGCUUGGAAGGCGUUGCCGGAAAGUUUUGAUCGGACCUUAAUCUGCGAAUAUGCGUUCGUUCACUGGGAAUCGUGGUGUCAUUGCUGUAGAUCCAGAGAGGAUGAUGAAGUCUGGUGUCGGCCGGAGUUUAUGAUGGCAGCAUAGGGCUAGGGUUCGGAAGAGAUGAAGAUGGUGCUGGGCGUGAUAACUUGAAGGAGGGUUCGGGUUUUCUUAGUUGUAGGAUCUGAAUGUCUUAGUCUUAGGCUUCCAAUAUUUUCAGGAUAGAAAAAAAAGAAUAAAAUAAUCAAUAAAGUAAUAAUAAUAUAAAUUGUUAGAAAUUAGAUAGGAGCCUUUUACUUUGCAGUACACCUUGGUCUUUUGUAUUGGGUUGGAUUAAAUGUUUGUUUACUUCGAGCACCCCAUUGUUAUGUGCUGCAACGUUAUUCUUUUGUUGAUUUCACCUCCGCGUUAUUAGUUAGAAGAUUAUGUUGUUUA